UCUCCGUAGGUGAACCUGCGGAGGGAUCAUUACAGAGUUCAUGCCCUACCGGGUAGAUCUCCCACCCUAUGUUAUUAUUACUUUGUUGCUUUGGCGGGCCGUUAGGCUCCGGCCCGACUACCGGCCCCGGCUGGUAAGCGCCCGCCAGAGGACCCAAAACCCUGAAUAUUAGUGUCGUCUGAGUACUAUAUAAUAGUUAAAACUUUCAACAACGGAUCUCUUGGUUCUGGCGUCGAUGAAGAACGCAGC
rnacentral:misc_RNA from 1 species